GAUGAACGCUGGCGGCGUGCCUAAUACAUGCAAGUCGAGCGAACAGACGAGGAGCUUGCUCCUCUGACGUUAGCGGCGGACGGGUGAGUAACACGUGGAUAACCUACCUAUAAGACUGGGAUAACUUCGGGAAACCGGAGCUAAUACCGGAUAAUAUAUUGAACCGCAUGGUUCAAUAGUGAAAGACGGUUGUGGUGGCACGUAUAGAUGGAUCCGCGCCGCAUUAGCUAGUUGGUAAGGUAACGGCUUACCAAGGCAACGAUGCGUAGCCGACCUGAGAGGGUGAUCGGCCACACUGGAACUGAGACACGGUCCAGACUCCUACGGGAGGCAGCAGUAGGGAAUCUUCCGCAAUGGGCGAAAGCCUGACGGAGCAACGCCGCGUGAGUGAUGAAGGUCUUCGGAUCGUAAAACUCUGUUAUUAGGGAAGAACAAAUGUGUAAGUAACUAUGCACGUCUUGACGGUACCUAAUCAGAAAGCCACGGCUAACUACGUG
rnacentral:rRNA from 1 species